rnacentral:rRNA from 1 species
ACGGAGGGUUCACUCCCAACCCCUGUGAA